rnacentral:rRNA from 1 species
UACGUAGGAUGCAAGCGUUGUCCGGAUUUACUGGGCGUAAAGCGCGCGCAGGCGGCACUCUAAGUACGCUGUGAAAUAUCCCGGCUCAACCGGGAGGGUGCAGUGUAGACUAGGGAGCUAGAGGUCGGUAGAGGUGCGUGGAAUUCCUGGUGUAGCGGUGAAAUGCGUAGAUAUCAGGAGGAACACCUGUGGCGAAAGCGGCGCACUGGACCACAACUGACGCUGAGGCGCGAAAGCUAGGGGAGCAAACAGG